UGUCAGGAAAUUUUGGUAGAGGUUUUGGGGCUCAGAGAUUCAAUAGAGGGGGAUGGAAUGGCAAUUUGGGAGGAAGAUUCAACAAUACUGAGAAGAUGGGGAGAUGGAAUGGAGGGAGGCAUGCCUUCCCAGGAGGAUCUAGGAGUUUUAGGAGAGGGGGGAAUCGUUCUGGGAAUCUAAAGGAUAUGAGCAGAGAUGCAGAGAUUGAAGAACCCAGAGCUGAGGGGAGCGAGGAGAAUCUGGUGUGGCAAGCUAAGGCAGGAGGGAAAGAUGCAGGGGAAGAGAUACCAAGGAUGACUUGUGGUGAAAAGGAAGGUACUGUAAUGGAAAAAGAGAGGAGCAACAACCAGACUUCUUGGGCAGAUCAGCAGUAGCAACAAUUGAUGUUGACUUCGCUACUCUCUCAGCUGGUUCAGGGGAUGCAGGGUAGUGAGAAGGCCCAGAUGGAAGGAAUGGCUGGAAAUCGAAUUGGUAACAUGCUUGGAAGAGAAAGUCACAGAAAAGAAGAGGGAGCCCCUGAUGGGCAACAGAGAGUUGACAAGAUGGUGGAGCAGGGAGCUGGCUUGGAUUUGAAGAAGCAAGGGGGUAAAAGUGGUUGGCAGCAUGGGUAUGAAGAAAACAAGAGAAAUUUUGAUAUAUAUAACAAACAGGUGUGUGGUAAAUGCAAAGACCCCAGACACACCACCAAGGAUUGUAGGAUGGGACACUGCUUGAUCUGUGGCAGAGAGAAUCAUAUUACAGGGGAGUGCAACUUGCUGAAACAGGUGAAACCAGUCCCAAAAUAUCUAGGGUAUGCAGCUAAAGGGCUGGGAAUUCUUCUGGUUCAGAGCUAUAAAAAUGUCCUGAUAGCAGAACAUACCAAUCCUUUGGGUGUGGUGAUCAUAAGAGAAGGAAGCAUUAAUGAGACUGAACUUGUGAAAGCUAUGGAGGAAAUGUUUGACUGGGGCUGGCAAUGGAGAGUAAGGGAAUUUGGAAAGAAUGGAUACAUGAUGAGAUUUCCCAAUAAAGCAAAGUUGGUGGAGCUAGCCAAGUUUAAUGACUUUAAACUGCUGGGGACAGGGGUGGUGAUCAAGGUUCAACCCUGGCCCCUUGAUCAUCAAGCUGUUGGGAAGAUGCACACCAUUUGGGUCAGGCUUGCCAAAGUCCCAGAUUGUUUCAGACAUUUUUUGGGUGUUUGUGAGGUGGCUGCUACAGUUGGACCUGUCCUAGAGAUUGAUAUGGAUACUAUAAAUGAGGAGAAAAUUAGAGCAAAGUGUGGGAUCAGAGAUGUGGAGAAAUUGUCAACUCAAGUGGAAAUCACUUCCCCUAAUCUUCUCAUGUUUAGAAUUGGGGUGGAAGCUGAGAAGGUGGUGGAGAUUGGUUGGUACAAAGAUGAGAAGAGGAAAAAUGAUGGCAGUAAUCUCUCAGAAGGGGGGGAGGAAGAGAUUGACAACAGGAAGAUGACUAGAAUGGGGGACAAUGAACAUAGAGGGGUCUCCUUUGGAUGCUUAUCCCUGAAACAAAGUGAGAAGGUUGAUAUAAAAAUUGAAGGAAUGAAAGCUCAAAUGGAAGAAACCAUGAUGUAGUGGCAAAAAGAGAUGGCUGUGGAGAGAGGAAAAUGGCAAAAGGAGAGUGAAAUCAUGUUCAGUAAAAUCAAAACCUUGGAGGAAUACAAGAUUAGAAACAAUGCUCUAUGGGCUAAAAAUGAAAACAGAAUCAGAGAAUUAGAAAAAAUUCAGACAGAGUUGCAGGAGAUUAGUAGAAAACAACUUGAAGAAAUCCAGAAGUUGGCACAAGAGGCUGCUAAUAGAGAGGAGUAUGAAAUGGAGUCAGCUAAUAUGGACCUUGAAGAUUAUGAGAAAGAGACUCAACAGAAAAAGGAAGAUACUGAGUCUGAGAAAUAUAAUGAGCCCACUGAUUAUAAUGCUAGCCAAGAAUCUAUUGGGACCUUGGGGGAGAAAAUGGCUGAAAUACAUGGAAGUGAGAUCCUGGAUAAAGAGAGGGAGGAGAAAGAUGUUGAAAUCAAGAGAAGCAUGAGAAACAAAGGAAAAGAAGACAAGAAAAUUGAGGAUAUGGCUAAAAGCAGAGCUGAGGAGAGAGACAAUUAUGAUAAAGGAGCCACCAAGAAAAGCGUUGGAGCUGGGAGCAAGGGUGCUAGAGCAGGCAGCAAAUGGAGUGUUCACAGCCAAGCAGGGAUGGAGGAUCAAUGUGGCUAGAUUGAAAUGAAUGAAUGAAGAAAGUCUCUCCUGCGGUGGUGAACCUGAUGUUUGGUGCUCCUGUAGAAUAGAUCUUUGGCUCCUUUUUUGCUGCUUUUGCUUCUGCGUUGAUGUAAUGACCCUUUGUUGGUCGAUAGGGGUGCUGUUUGAUCCUUGUUGAACCCGG